rnacentral:rRNA from 1 species
GCAGGCUUAACACAUGCAAGUCGAGCGGUAGCACAGGGGAGCUUGCUCCCUGGGUGACGAGCGGCGGACGGGUGAGUAAUGUCUGGGAAACUGCCUGAUGGAGGGGGAUAACUACUGGAAACGGUAGCUAAUACCGCAUAACGUCGCAAGACCAAAGAGGGGGACCUUCGGGCCUCUUGCCAUCAGAUGUGCCCAGAUGGGAUUAGCUAGUAGGUGGGGUAAUGGCUCACCUAGGCGACGAUCCCUAGCUGGUCUGAGAGGAUGACCAGCCACACUGGAACUGAGACACGGUCCAGACUCCUACGGGAGGCAGCAGUGGGGAAUAUUGCACAAUGGGCGCAAGCCUGAUGCAGCCAUGCCGCGUGUGUGAAGAAGGCCUUCGGGUUGUAAAGCACUUUCAGCGAGGAGGAAGGUGGUGAGCUUAAUACGCUCAUCAAUUGACGUUACUCGCAGAAGAAGCACCGGCUAACUCCGUGCCAGCAGCCGCGGUAGUACGGAGGGUGCAAGCGUUAAUCGGAAUUACUGGGCGUAAAGCGCACGCAGGCGGUUUGUUAAGUCAGAUGUGAAAUCCCCGGGCUCAACCUGGGAACUGCAUUUGAAACUGGCAAGCUAGAGUCUCGUAGAGGGGGGUAGAAUUCCAGGUGUAGCGGUGAAAUGCGUAGAGAUCUGGAGGAAUACCGGUGGCGAAGGCGGCCCCCUGGACGAAGACUGACGCUCAGGUGCGAAAGCGUGGGGAGCAAACAGGAUUAGAUACCCUGGUAGUCCACGCUGUAAACGAUGUCGAUUUGGAGGUUGUGCCCUUGAGGCGUGGCUUCCGGAGCUAACGCGUUAAAUCGACCGCCUGGGGAGUACGGCCGCAAGGUUAAAACUCAAAUGAAUUGACGGGGGCCCGCACAAGCGGUGGAGCAUGUGGUUUAAUUCGAUGCAACGCGAAGAACCUUACCUACUCUUGACAUCCAGAGAACUUAGCAGAGAUGCUUUGGUGCCUUCGGGAACUCUGAGACAGGUGCUGCAUGGCUGUCGUCAGCUCGUGUUGUGAAAUGUUGGGUUAAGUCCCGCAACGAGCGCAACCCUUAUCCUUUGUUGCCAGCGGUUCGGCCGGGAACUCAAAGGAGACUGCCAGUGAUAAACUGGAGGAAGGUGGGGAUGACGUCAAGUCAUCAUGGCCCUUACGAGUAGGGCUACACACGUGCUACAAUGGCGUAUACAAAGAGAAGCGACCUCGCGAGAGCAAGCGGACCUCAUAAAGUACGUCGUAGUCCGGAUUGGAGUCUGCAACUCGACUCCAUGAAGUCGGAAUCGCUAGUAAUCGUAGAUCAGAAUGCUACGGUGAAUACGUUCCCGGGCCUUGUACACACCGCCCGUCACACCAUGGGAGUGGGUUGCAAAAGAAGUAGGUAGCGUAACCUUCGGGAGGGCGCUUACCACUUUGUGAUUCAUGACUGG